UUUUUUAAAGAUUUAUUUAUUCAUUAUAUGUAAGUACACUGUAGCUGUCCUCAGACACUCCAGAAGAGGGCGUCAGAUCCUGUUACGGAUGGUUGUGAGCCACCAUGUGGUUGCUGGGAUUUGAACUCCUGACCUUUGGAAGAGCAGUCGGGUGCUCUUACCCACUGAGCCAUCUCACCAGCCCUAUUUUUAAUUUUAUGUGUGUGGGUGUUUUGUCUUUAUCACAUAUCUGCAUGUUUCCUGUGGAGACUAGAAGGUGGCUUUGGGUUUCCUCGCACUGGAGUCUCAGCUAUGAGCUGCCGUGUGGGUGCUGGGAAUCAAACUUUAGUCUUCUGGAAGAGCAGUCACUGCUCCUAACUACUGAGUCAUCUCUUGAGCUCCAGUAUAAACUUCUAAUAUAUAAUUAGUUUAAAAGUCAGUAGAAUACCCUAAAUGCAAUGUAAAUGAUUAUAUUUAACUUUUUUCUUUAAAUAUUAAUAAGUAAUCAGGCAUAGUUAAUGCCUGCAACAAAAUAUAAAUGAAAUAACUGUCAACUUAAAUGUGGAGUCACCAUGACUCCACAUAUAUGAUACCUGAUAGCUAUAGGUAACCAGUAGAUGUUUGAUGCCUGGGCGGCAUAUGUGCUGUAACUUGUGAUUUCCUUCAGCCGUUCACAAUUCUUGGUCAAGUUCUAGAAGGUGAAAAGUGUACCUUUUCUGUGAUUUACAAUAGCAAGCUAUUCUAUAUACAGUAUACAACGUAGAAAAUGAAGAAUUAAAACAACACAAAAUAGUUGUGAACAGUAUUGUAUUAUAAACUCCAUUUAAUAUAAACUGAUAUUUUUCAGUAAUUAAUACCUUCCAGGAAAGAUGAUGGGAGCAGAAUUUUCAACUUUGGUAGCAUUAACAUUUGAGGCUAAAAUUUUUGUUGUUGUUGUUGUAGAGGGUUGUUCAGUGCAAUAUAGAACCUUUAUCAGCAUUUCUGGCUGGUUUAACUGUCAGAGACACAGCUUCCCCAUGGUGUGAGGCCAUAGCUGCCUCUGUAUAUUACCAAAUGUUCCUUGGGGGACAGACUGUUCUGCGUGAAGAGUGGGUUAAAGAUUCAGUUAAUAUUUAUAAAAAAGAAAAUGGAUUGAGAUAUGUUCAUGGGUUCAAUUAUUUAGUACACUCAGUGAAUAUCGUUUUUUUUGACCUUAUAGGCAGUGAUGUGAGAACCACAGUUUGCUAAGUGUGCUAUUCAGUAGCUUAGGUGUAUUUUAGUUUGUAUGUUCAACUUACCAAUGAGUUUAUCAGGAUGUAACCCAUUCAUUGUAAGUCAAACAUCUGUAUGGUGUAACAUGUUGCAUGAUAAUUUUAUAAUCGUAGAAUGCUCAAGAGACAUUGUAGGGAACAGUCAUGGACAAGAGCCCUGAGGAUAACAUGAGUUUUUAGUAGAUAUCGGUAUAAAUCACCGAUGUAAAAUUAAUUUGAAAAAGUUUUUGUUUAUGAUGUAAAUAUGUAUUUCCAUGUAAGGCCAAUUGAAAAUCUACAGGUUUUGGAGCUGGGGUAUUGUAGUAGUGUUUGCCUAGCAUAUAUGAGGCUCUGAGUUCAAGCCCUAGCCCUGUGUCCUUCUACCCUCAGUCAUGGCUCAUUGUGAUGUUUGUCUUUGAUAUGGUGGCAUCAAUGGUGAUGUUUGUUUUAGCCCACUAGGUGUCAGUCUCCAGUAGAGCAGAAAUGCUCUUGAAUGGACAAGCAAGUGAAAGAUCACCCUUAGUUUUGUCUAUAAUAAAAGCACGUGUCCUAUUGUUUGUUCUGUAGGGAUUUUCUUAAUUAAGAAGUAAACAGAAUAUUUAAACUAAAGCAUGCAUUUAAUUUCAAAAGGACAUUUAUUUCCUUAAACCAGACUCUUACUAAUUUAGAUAUAAUAUAAAUGUUGGUGGUCAAGAGAAUGUAAGAGAACAGUCCAAGGAAUUAAAUCUAUAGCUUCGAUAAGAUCUCCUUUCCCUGGAAACUGGGGAUUUUUACCUUGUGAGUUUAUGAUAAUUAAAUAGAAAGGAAUCUGGUUCCUAAUUAGUACAUAGAAAUUGCUAGCUGCUAGCAGUAGUAUUGAAAAUAUAGUAUCUAAGAGGCUUAGUCCACCUAUCUGGCCGCUUGUUAUCCUAACUCAGGGUUUUGUAGUUUUGGAUUUGACUAGCUAAAUAGGAAAGAAGUAGAUGGAUUUUAGAAGUCUGGGCUGUAUUUGCAACUCUCUUCUACAGCUACAUCGUUUAGUGGCUCUUGGUAUUUCUGAUGAGAAUCCCUGUAUGGGACGAUCUCCUCAUUGCUGGUAGUUGGUUUUAGAAGCUUAAAUGUUUUAUCUUUAUUCCUAGAGUUCUCGGAUUCUUCUAGCAGCUAUCGUUGUUGAGUCUUUACUUUGCACUCUGUUGCUCUUUUAAGUGAUUAUCUAGUUUUAUUUUUGUGGUGCUGUGGAUGGACCUAGGGCCUUUGGCAUGCUGGGCACAUUUUCUGCCACAACAUGACGUCCCCAGAGCAUUAUAUUUUGAUGGUUUGGUGACAUGCAUGUAUUUUAGCGCAAUUUUUACGCCGAUUGACAGUUUUCUUGUGUCUGUCUCUGUCUGUCUGUCUGUCUGUCUGUCUGUCUAGCCAUAUGCUUUUAUGAGUGAAGCUUGGUGUCAUGUAUACAUAUGGCCAGUUUGUUUGUUUGUUUGUUUGUUUGUUUGUUUGUUUGAGACAGGAUCUGUCUACAUAACCCUCUCUGUCCUGGAACUCACAGCCUUGGCUUCCCACUUGGUUGGACUGUAACCUGUAAGCUGAAAUAAACGCUUCCUCCUUGAGUUGGAUUCAGUCAGUGUUUAUCACAGUAACAGCAAAACAGAACACCUUUGUUUCAGAAAUGCUUUCACAGGCAUAACCAGAGGUGUGUCAGGCCAUCAGUGAGGGUUGUGUCUGGGACUGUCUACCUAACCACCAGCUUAUCUAUCUGAGGUAACAGUUUCACUGUUUCCACUUUGGUCUGUUCCUGAGUUCAGUCUAGUUCCAGGGUUAUAGUGUAUCCAACCUAUUUUUUUUUUUUUUUAAGCAACUUGACAAUAUUAGAGAAAAUAAAGGUUCAGCUGGGUAUGGUAGUACACACCUUUGACCCCCCCACUUGAGAGGCAGAGAUAGGUGGGAUCUCUGAGUUUGAGAUUACCCUGAUCCACAAAGUCCCAGGACAGCCAGGCUACAGAGAGAGAUACUCUGGGAAAAAAACAAUGACAAAAACAGCAAAGUAACCAAAAUUACCUUGGUUUUUAAUUUGUAGUUUAUUAGACAUGUUUUAUAAACUUAAAAAGUUUUUCCCGGGCUGGUGAGAUGGCUCAGCGGUUAAGAGCACCGACUGCUCUCCCGAAGGUCCUGAGUUCAAAUCCCAGCAACCACAUGGUGGCUCACAACCACCUGUAAUGAGAUCUGAUGCCCUCUUCUGGUGUGUCUGAAGACAGCUACAGUGUACUUACAGAUAAUAAAUAAAUAAAUCUU
rnacentral:lncRNA from 1 species